GUCCACAAAGCUUUUUUGAACUUUAUGGACUUCUGCAAAUCUUGGACUUGCAUGCAGAUACCUUGUGCAUGGCUGGUGCUGUUUGGCUAUGUAAGUAUCGGCACUCACCCCUGAAGUUGGGAAAUAGAGGAAACAAGUAGGGCCAUACCACAGAACAUUGCUCUGGUGUUCAAUACAUGAGCCUGUGGCUCGGGUUUAAAAACAACCAAAUGUUAGUAUCAAACAUCUUCUAAUCAUAUGCAUUAAAAAAACCCUUUUCAACUUGUUUUUUAGAUACAUAUUUUAGAUACAUAUUGUGUUUCCAGCAUUUAAAAGUGCAACCUGACUGCAUGUAAGACUUCUGCAUGCAGCUGAGUUCUUGAUAUGGCAUGCAAGGAGCUCUGAGAAAGAAUGAGGUGGAUUGAUCUUUGCUGCGACCUGAGGAGUAUGGAGCAUUUUAUUUUCUACUAGGAAUCCAAAUGAGUGUUGGCUUCACCUCUACCCUGCGUUGUUAACAUUGGACUAUGUUGCAAGAAUGCUAUAAGCUAAUAUUUAUCAGUGCAGCCCUCCAAGCCGCAGUAGGUCAUAUAACAGUGACCUACAGCCAUACUCCAAGCCUGCAGUGAUGGUUGUGGGGGUCUGAUGCCUCUGGACAGCACUGCAGGGUUGUUGUUGUGUGUGGUGUAGUGGUUAAGAGCGGUAGUCUCGUAAUCUGGUGAACUGGGUUUGCGUCUCCGCUCCUCCACAUGCAGCUGCUGGGUGACCUUGGGCCAGUCACACUUCUCUGAAGUCUCUCAGCCCCACUCACCUCACAGAGUGUUUGUUGUGGGGGAGGAAGGGAAAGGAGAAUGUGAGCCGCUUUGAGACUCCAUAGGGUAGUGAUAAAGCAGGAUAUCAAAUCCAAACUUCUUCUUCUUCUUGUUUACCUGGCCUGUAAUAUUCAAUGUGAAUUAUACUCUGGGCUGUAAUAAGUAACUGCUGCAACCCCUUUGAAUCUGCAGUGUGUUUCUGCUGAAUGUAGCAUUUCCUUUUAUAAUAAUAGUAAUAAUAAAUUUUAUUUAUACUCCGUCCUCCCCGGCCAGAGCCGGGCUCAGGGAGGCUAACACCAGUAAAAUUACAGUAAAAACAUAAUAGGGGGAAAAAAACUCUUAAAAUACUGCUUGUUUACAUUGUUUUGCUAUUUUUAGGUGUUCUGCUCUGAUCUUCUUAAGGGGGUAGAUCAGGAUACUGUAUAAAGAAUUCCAAAUAAGUAUAUACGUUAAGAAGUGGUGGGAUCUAACUAAAGUUUGCUGAAAUGAACAUUUCAUUUAGGAGCCGCCAUCUAGCAGACGUGCAGCAGCUAUUUGAGAACAGAAACUCUUACUUGUUGGCAUAUAUUUGUGGAAAGAGGAAUUUUGUCACCAGGUCACUGUUGGCAUUUAUAAUGUUUCUCAUCGUCGGCCCACACAGCUUCUAACUAUGCAGCUGAAGUCAUAAGCAUGACACUGCAAAUAUGGAAACUGAGGUUUUUAAUAGGGGGAGAAAACCCGCCUAGAAAUCAUUUGGGAAUUUAGACUUUUUCAAACACUCUCUUGUAAAAGUUCCUUCCGUAAGAGUCACCCAAAAAGAAAUUCUCAUUGAGGCUAUCAGCAGAGUGGGUGUUUCUCAGAAUAAGCAAUACACAUUAACUUUUCAAACGCCUCUGCAAAAUUUUACCUUGCACAGGAAGCCAUGGUAACUGUUGCGUCAUAAGCUUCUGCUCCAGUUAAGACUGGGAUCUAGCUGCACAGAAUUUAGGCUGUAAAUUCAUUCUUUCUGUUUCUAAAAUUCCUCCCUGCUGGCCAGUUGCAGCUUCAUCCAUUCAAUCUUCUGGAAGGUUAUGGAGUUUUAAAAAUUAAAAGCUAAGAUUUCCUUCCUUGUGAUUAGGGAUGGUGAGACAUGUGCUUAUCCACAUUUAUUGUACCUUUCCUCCUCACUUCCCAGGCAUGGUUUGUACCUUACUGCUCCAUGUCUGAGUGCCCAUUUUUUGUGCUCCAGAGCUUUUCCCACCAAAACUUGCUCUUUAAAGCUGAAUCAGAGCAGAUGGCAAUCUGUGGGAAACCUGAUUUGCCAUUUGCUCCGAGUCAGCUUAAAGAGUGAGUUUUUGCAGGGAAAGCUCCGGGGUGUGUGUGUGUGUGUGCUUGGACAUGCCUGCUCUUGAUGUAUUUUUAAUCCUUGUUGGAAGCCACCCAGAGUUGCUGGGGAAACCCAGCCAGAUGGGCGGGGUACAAAUAAUAAAUUAUUAUUAUUAUUAGUGAUGGGGUUAUACUCCCUCUGAAGGAGCAAGUAUGCAGGGGUACUUAUGGGGGGUACUUAUGGAUCCUUGGCAGUCGCUUGAGGCUCAGUGGGACAGAGUGCCUUCCGUCAGCUUCAGCUAUGGCCCAGCAAUGCCUCAAUCUGGAUGGAGAUAACCUAACUUCUGUUGUCUAUGCUCUGGCAACCUCUAGGUUAGGUUACUGCGACGCAUUAUACGUAGAGCUGCCUCUGAAGAUGGUUCAGAAACGUUAGCUGGUGCAGAAUUUGGCAGCCAGGUGAAUCAGGGCAAGGUGGUUUGAGCAUAUUUCACCAAUCCUAGCCCAACUGCACUGGCUGCCAAUUAGUGUCCAGGCCCAAUUCAAAGUACUAGUUUUGACCUAUAAAGCCUCAAAUGGCUCAGGACUGACUGCAAUACUUCAAGGACCCCUCUCUCCAUAUGAACCGACCCAGACCUUGCAAUCAUCAUCUGAGGCCCUUCUUUGUGUACCUCCUCCAUGAGUGGUCCAGAGAGUGGCAACACAAAAACGGUCCUUUUCUGCAGUCGCUCCCCAUGUGUGGAAUGUUCUCCCCAGGAGGAUUUGGCUAGUGCCUUCCUUAUAUACCUUUAGACACCCAGGGGAAAAUGUUCCUCUUCAACCAGGCCUUGGGCUGAUUAAUAUCUCAUACCCCUUUUAAAUGUCUUUGUGGGAAGGGCUGGAGGGAGGGGGUUAUGGGUUUGUGGGUUUUUUGUUCUUGUUUUUAUAAUGUAUUUUGUGCUUUUACAUUGUAUUCUUAUGACGUGAAGUGCCCUGAGAUCUAUGGAUAAAGGGUGGUAUACAAAUUUAAUCAAUAAUAAUAAAUUUAAAGUAUGCGUACCUGUAGCACAAAAGGUGUGCAUAAGCCCUAAGUUUCAAACCUCACCAGAAGCUUUUCUUUUAGGAAUACUAGGUGCAGAGAUACCCAGGGACCACGGGGAAAAACCUGUUUAUGUAUGCAACGACAGCUGCCCAAAUGACGCUUGCUCAGAAACGGAAAGAAGAUACAGUCCCAACCAAGGAAGAAUGGCAGAUAAAAUUAAUGGACUAUGCUGAAAUGGCAAAACUUACUGGAAGAAUAAGAAACCAAAAAGAAAGAACUUUUAACAAAGAUUGGGGAAAAUAUGUGGACUAACUGAAAAACUAUAGUAAACAUUUAAAUUAAUUAGCAGGAUUAAUGUAGAACAAGCAGUUAAGUGAAUUUGUUAAGGAAACUUUAGAUUCUAAAUAAUAAUUUGGCAAUGCAGUAAGAAAAUUACCACAUAAGUAACCACAAAAGGGGGGGAGGAAAGUCAAGUGAUGUUAUUGGAUAGUUUAUGCAAUUUUAAUUAUUGUAAAACUGAGAAUCGAAAUACAUUUGUUUUUAAAAGAGAAAAAUACGUUUCAAACCUCAUCAGCUAGCUAGCUCUUAUGCAUGAAUGGCACUCAGAAAACAGCUGCCAUAGAAACAAGAUUAGAAAGAACCACAUGGUAAACAUUUUAAAUCUACAAAUAGCAUCUGUACACAUAAGAGGAACUAGCCAGUAUUAUCCUGACUCUCCUGCCUAGAUCUGAGUGGUGUGUGUUAAAUGCUGUGCUUGCAAUUGAGGUUAAUACAGCCACCAUGUGAUAAGCUUUUUGUGUGUGCAACUACUGCAAAAUUAUUAGUCACCUAUUUCCACCCACACAUGCCUCAUGACCUUGUAGUCUCACACUGAAACUGGCAAUUGGACUAUGAUCCAUAUGGUAACUGACCAAAACUCAGUUCCCACUUCUGCACAAUUCACUUAGGAAUAGAGGAAGGUCCCUGCUUGGGGAGAGGUUCGCCUGAUGUUGUAUGAUACCAGGUGACUGACAGGUGAAUGUGAUUUGCGCAAAAUGAUUUUGCAGGCCAAAUUUAGACGUCUGGUGGGACUAUAACAAGACCCGUGGGCCAGAGUUUCUCCACAACUGACAUAAAACAAGACAGAUAUUUAGAAAAUUGACUUUCGAUUUUAAAUUUUGUAUUAAUCAACAUGCCACACAUCCACAAUUAAAAUAGACCACAGCUGACUCCAGGGCACCUCAGAGUUACUUACAUAUGUCUUGGGAGAUAAUGGAAGCGUGUGCCUUUGGGGGUGAAGGUAAACUGUUGGAGAGUUACAGCGCCUGCUGUGGCUGUAGAGACCAGGAGAGUGCCCAGUUAUAGGAAAAGUAUAUUAGCUCUAAAGCAAAGUGUGAUUACUGGUCAGAAGAGGAUAUUGAAUGCUAAUUACCGUAAUUCAAACACUGAAUUGUUACCCAACAUAUGAGUUGGUGGGUGCAAGACGCCCUAAAUUAUGGAUUAAGAUAGUGUUAAAAUUUAAUUGAGGCUUCUGUGUUGAAACUGUGUGUCAGACCCCGGGUUAGGACCUAUGCAAGACCCAUGUGUAUUAAGAUGUGUGCUAGACAAUUUUAAUUUACUGGAAUAAGCAUGUGUGAAAAAACUAAUCAAGCUAGGCAAACUUCAUGAACGGUGUAUAAGACACUUCCAAAUCCUGGAGAAUCAACUAGUGUAAAAGCUAGUUAAGAAAAGACUGGUUUCUUUUUGAGAUGAUAGCCUGGGGAUGAGACUCAUUAAGACUCAAAGGAUCAAGGGAAAUCUCAUCAUGUGAAAUCUACAGUUUAUCAUAUGAAUCUUCUGCCAUGCUGAAGCAAAUGCCGUGUAUUAACUUUAAAAUAAACCUGUGGUUUCUACAGAAUCGUG